AUCACACUUAAAUAAGAAGCACAUAGCAAUUUGAGAGGGGAAUCCCGAUUUACCAGUCUUUUAUAGCUUAUAGCGAUUUAAAGAAACUGAUAAAUUGAUUUGGUUUCCUGCCAAAAAUCCUGCCAAAUAUUUCUUGGCAGGAUUUUUAUU
rfam:Streptococcus uberis strain CAIM 1894 contig_022, whole genome shotgun sequence.